rnacentral:lncRNA from 1 species
CACCCUUUAGACUUCCAAUGCUUCUGGCUUUAAUAUUCUGUGCUAGAUUCACAGAGCUCCUCUACAGAUGCUAAGCGUUCAAUCCUGAAGGCUCCACUUCAUCAUCAGGGGUCCUUCAGCAGCCAUCAUUAUCCCAUGCCAACUGCCCUCUUCGUUUGCCUACUGACAACCAGUGUCCUUUCCUAAAAUGGGACUUCAGAGGGAAAGGAAGAUAUGUUUUACAACAUGGUUUAUGAUAUGUUUCAUGACAUUUCUAAUGCUUGAAGAAUUCAACACUUUGCAGAAACUCUUCUGGAUCACCUAUGCUAAAAGUUUAUUCACACCAAGAUUUCAGCCAGAUGCAGGAUAAAAACCAUCACCUCCUUGGGAAGAGCACCAUGACCCAAUGGCUGGAAACUCAUUACAGGAAAACACAAACAUAAGUAAUCCAAAACUAUUUUCAGAGUAAAACCCAGUAAUAACUCUUGCUGUGAAAACAUUGCAUUUCUC